rnacentral:rRNA from 1 species
AAAGAAACUAACAAGGAUUCCCCUAGUAACGGCGAGUGAAGCGGGAAGAGCACAAAUUUUAAAUCUACCUGGUUUUCCAGGUCGAGUUGUAAUUUGAAGAAACGUUUUUUACGUUCCAGGUUGGAUUAAAUCCUUUGGGAUAAGGUAUCAUGGAGGGUGAGAAUCCCGUGUAUACCAACCACUGGAAUGUUAUUAAAUACGAUUUCUAAGAGUCGAGUUGUUUGGGAAUGCAGCUCUAAAUGGGUGGUAAAUUUCACCUAAUGCUAAAUAUAAGCGAGAGACCGAUAGUGAACAAGUACCGUGAGGGAAAGAUGAAAAGAGCUUUGAAAAGAGAGUUAAAUAGUACGUGAAAUUGUUGAAAGGGAAACGGUUGAAGUCAGUUAUGCCGGUGGGAAUCAACUUAGGGGAAACUCUAGGUGCACUUCUUCGCUUGGCAGGUUAGCGUCGAUUUUGGAUGUCAUAAAAUGACUGGGGGAAGGUAGCUCCUUCGGGAGUGUUAAGCCCUUGGUAGAUGCGAUGUUCGGGAUCGAGGAUUGCAACGGAUACCCUUUGGGCUAGCCACCUGGUCUCUAAUACGAANUUGGGUUAUGGAUAGCAUGCUAAUCAUGAUCUGAUUUUCGGUUAAAAGAUUAGAGUGAGUGUAAAUUCGUUAAGGACGCUG